rnacentral:rRNA from 1 species
UACGUAGGGUGCAAGCGUUAAUCGGAAUUACUGGGCGUAAAGCGUGCGCAGGCGGUGAUGUAAGACAGAUGUGAAAUCCCCGGGCUCAACCUGGGAACUGCAUUUGUGACUGCAUCGCUGGAGUACGGCAGAGGGGGAUGGAAUUCCGCGUGUAGCAGUGAAAUGCGUAGAUAUGCGGAGGAACACCGAUGGCGAAGGCAAUCCCCUGGGCCUGUGACUGACGCUCAUGCACGAAAGCGUGGGGAGCAAACAGG